rnacentral:lncRNA from 1 species
AACCUGACAGCCAAGAUUGAGGAUGCGUUCCAAGGAAAGACUCCCCUUCUUAGGAUGUUGCAUUAGGUACGCAAUUUGUUGCUCCAAGUAGACUACGUGAUUUUUCGAAUCUUCAUCCACUCAUAAAAUCCUCUUCUGUUGAUGAAAGCGGACAUUAGAGCUCAGGGUGGCAGUUGCUGU